rnacentral:rRNA from 1 species
GUCCACGCCGUAAACGAUGAGUGCUAGGUGUUGGGGUAUCAUGCCCUCGGUGCCGAAGUUAACACAUUAAGCACUCCGCCUGGGGAGUACGGUCGCAAGACUGAAACUCAAAGGAAUUGACGGGGACCCGCACAAGCAGUGGAGUAUGUGGUUUAAUUCGAAGCAACGCGAAGAACCUUACCAGGUCUUGACAUCCCUCUGACCGUCCUAGAGAUAGGGCUUUCCUUCGGGACAGAGGAGACAGGUGGUGCAUGGUUGUCGU